UACAAAAUGUGACAUUAUUCUUUUCGCUUUCAACAGAAUAACUUAUUACAUGUUGACUUCCUUUCCUUGAAUCGGUGAUGUUCCCAUUGCUGUAUCUGCUGCCAUAACUGCCAUUUAUUUUCUAUUGUAUUAUAACUCAUGUUAUCAUUUAUUUAUUCUCUUUCCCCUUCCCUAUUAUUCAACUCCUGCUUGCAGUUUUAUUUGGCUAUAGUUUUUUUCCUCCCAAUAGCCCCCAAAGGACCUCCAGUCUUCGACAAAGUUCUCCUCUGUCUUUAUCUCUUAUUUCUGCUGCCCACCUCGGCAUCUCUGUGUAGUCGUUGACCUUUAAAACCCAUUAUUCUUUCGUUGGGACGCCUUCGUUUUUCCAUUUCUGCAGAUACAGGAUUCUAGCUGCGAUAGAAGCACACACAAACAACUUGACCAUCUCUUUUGGAACCUCUAAAUGCACUGAACUUUAGAGCAGACAUUGCAUGCCUUGCAGCUGCCACCGCUUCUCAGUUAGGCGUAGAUCGGAACGGGCCACUUCUGCUUACGAAAACAGGGAUCCUGGAACACGGGAAGCUGAGACCAGUGGUUCAUCUCGCUCAGUGCUGUUGACACUGGCUGGCAGCAGCUCCCCAGAGUUUCCCCACCCUACCUGAAGAUGCCAUUGGGGCCUUCUGGGUGCAUGGAAGAUGCUGUCCCGCUAAGUUGCUUCCCAAAGAUCCCACUGACCGAGUGGCUCAUUUGAAUGGGCAUCUAGGCCAAAGUCGGCGUCCAGCGCAGGAAGGGGCAAAAACCCGCAGCCUGUUGGACGGGUGCAAGGAUGGACCCUGCAUCCCACUGUCACCCCAAGAAAAUAUAUUCAGGGUCAAGCUAUGAUGUGAAAAGCCCCCACAUUAAUUCAGUGCGUAAGCAGCACUCCUGAACAUAGGCUGGUGUGUUGCAUCUUAGGACCCUUGAUCCUAAAGUCAACCCCAUUCAUUUCAACGCAGUUCAUUCAUUUCCCCCAGAUUUGUUCGUCCUUCGCUAAAGCUGCGAGAGGAUUCCACUUCUAUCUGAAAUAGCGCAGGCUCCAGUCGUUACUUGAUCAAGGCAGCAAAAAGAGAACGACUUUGUUUAUUGUACUAUUCAUAUAAAGCGGUUUAAGUGGUUUGGGGACUGCACCACAAAUCUGGGGCAGGGGAGAGAUAUUUUUUUCUCCUCCCCCCGUUCUUCAUUCAUGGGGAAAUUUAUCCUGGCUAUUCUGCUCAGAGGGCUUCCCAGGCAGCUUGCUGAACAAAAACCCAAACCAUUUCCCCAAAACCCAUUAACCUCAGCAUCAACGAACGAGGAUCCACAGCAAGCCACCCAUAAAAAUGGCAAUAUAUUUGGUGGCCUCAUAAUUCACUGUUCUCUUGCCUCUGUCCCAUAGGAAUUAUUUUAAAGGGGGAAAAGCAAUUCUUUUUAAGGUCACCUUGCAGAGACAGAAAGGACUCUUGGGUCUCUGAGUAAGGUUGCAGUCCUAGGCGUGCUUUUUUGAUCUUAGAAGAAGUCCCAUUCAGCCAGUGCUUUUUUUCCUUAUUAAAAUGUUUAGGGUUAUUUUCAUUUUCCUACUCAUAUUGAAAUACUGUCCCUCAAUGAGGCCAAACUUCGAUUCACAAAAUUCACCAGAAAAAAGCACUGCAUUCAGCUCAAUGAGACUCAGUUCCAAGCAAACAUACUUAGGGACUGAGCUGCGAGUUAUCCAAGUCUAAAAGGGGUGCAAAGUGGGGUGACUCAAUUUGACACCCCCCUUCAAAAGCCUAUUGACAUCUGCUUAUUUAUUUCUAUGCAAUGCAUACCCUCAAGAUUUUGACAUGGCUGGCAUCAGUCUUAGUAAUUUAGCGGAAUUCGUGUCUAUGGCACUUUGCAGAAGAAUAAACAAAUGUAGGUCUCUGCCCAAAAGGGCUACCAAAACAGCAGAGAGGGGAGAGGAAAGAAAGGGUUUAGAAACCAAAAACCACCCAAGUUUUCACCAACAAGCAGAAUCUAAAAUAAAAGGCACAAUAAAGUAAAGAUCAGAGCCAUUAAUGCAAAGAAAACCCCAGCAACCCAAACUCAGAUCAUGGAGAGUCUAAAUUCACAACUCAAAUGAUUCGUGUUUGUUUUGCCGUGUUUGCUAAAUAUCUUCAGGGAUGGCCAAAAGGUGGCUCUCAGGAGUUAAUUGAGUGUGCGGCAGAUAGGGGGACCAAGUCAGAACCCAUUCCAGAUCUCCCCAGGAAAACCUCCUUGCACCUGAUUAGAGGAUCUUGCAAGAUCUGAAUCACCCAAGGAGGAAGGUGGAGGUGGCAGAGCUUGGCUCCAGAGCUGAAGGCACAUGGCUAAAUGCUCAUCUCAUCAUGCAUUCUUCCUUUCACCCACACUGUGAGGUCUUCAGGGGAGCGGGGGAGGCUAAAACAAAAUGGGAACCAUGAUUUCUUGUGGGGCUUGAAAUAUGCGUCUCAUUGAACUGGAUCCAGAGAUCUCAUAGGGAUAUUUUCUCAGUACCUUUUGCAGAUGGAGAGGAAGAGCCCUCCAUUAUUUUGUUUACAGUUUUAACAAAUAAUAAAAAAGGAAGAAA